rnacentral:rRNA from 1 species
UACGAAGGGGGCUAGCGUUGCUCGGAAUCACUGGGCGUAAAGGGUGCGUAGGCGGGUCUUUUAAGUCAGGGGUGAAAUCCUGGAGCUCAACUCCAGAACUGCCUUUGAUACUGAAAGUCUUGAGUAUGGGAGAGGUGAGUGGAACUGCGAGUGUAGAGGUGAAAUUCGUAGAUAUUCGCAAGAACACCAGUGGCGAAGGCGGCUCACUGGCCCAUUACUGACGCUGAGGCACGAAAGCGUGGGGGAGCAAACAGG